UACGGGGGGGGCUAGCGUUGUUCGGAAUUACUGGGCGUAAAGGGCGCGUAGGCGGUCUGCUAAGUUGGAUGUGAAAACUCUGGGCUUAACCCAGAGCCUGCAUUCAAUACUGACAGGCUAGAGUUCUGGAGGGGAUAGCGGAAUUCCUGGUGUAGCGGUGAAAUGCGCAGAUAUCAGGAGGAACACCGGUGGCGAAGGCGGGAUCCUGGGCCAGUACUGACGCUGAGGAGCGAAAGCGUGGGGAGCAAACAGG
rnacentral:rRNA from 1 species